rnacentral:rRNA from 1 species
GAUGAACGCUGGCGGCGUGCCUAAUACAUGCAAGUCGAGCGAACUGAUUAGAAGCUUGCUUCUAUGACGUUAGCGGCGGACGGGUGAGUAACACGUGGGCAACCUGCCUGUAAGACUGGGAUAACUUCGGGAAACCGAAGCUAAUACCGGAUAGGAUCUUCUCCUUCAUGGGAGAUGAUUGAAAGAUGGUUUCGGCUAUCGCUUACAGAUGGGCCCGCGGUGCAUUAGCUAGUUGGUGAGGUAACGGCUCACCAAGGCAACGAUGCAUAGCCGACCUGAGAGGGUGAUCGGCCACACUGGGACUGAGACACGGCCCAGACUCCUACGGGAGGCAGCAGUAGGGAAUCUUCCGCAAUGGACGAAAGUCUGACGGAGCAACGCCGCGUGAGUGAUGAAGGCUUUCGGGUCGUAAAACUCUGUUGUUAGGGAAGAACAAGUACGAGAGUAACUGCUCGUACCUUGACGGUACCUAACCAGAAAGCCACGGCUAACUACGUGCCAGCAGCAGCCGCCGUAA